AUUGAACGCUGGCGGCAUGCCUAACACAUGCAAGUCGAACGAGUGGCGGACGGGUGAGUCAUGUCUGGGACACUGCCUGAUGGAGGGGGAUACCUACUGGAAACGGUAGCUAAUCCCGCAUACCAUCGGUUGUACCCAGAUGUGAUUAGCUAGUAGGUGGGGUAAAGGUUCACCUAGGCGACGAUCCCUAGCUGGUCUGGGAGGAUGACCAGCCACACUGGAACUGAGAAACGGCCCAAACCCCUACGGGAGGAAGCAGUGGGAAAUAUUGCACAAGGGGCGAAAGCCUGCUGCAGCCAGGCCGCGUGUAUGAGGAAGGCCUUCGAGUUGUAAAGUACUUUCAGCGGGGAGGCGUUAACCGCCGAAGAAGCACCGGCUAACUCCGUGCCAGCAGCCGCGGUAAUAC
rnacentral:rRNA from 1 species